CAAAGGCAAUACACAAACUCAUGGACAAAACACCCCCAAUCACACCGAUCCACAUACAUUAAACACACAAAGCCACAUACUCACACAGACACCUUCAUACACAAAUACAUGGCACACACACACACACGUAUACAGAACACACACACACACAUAUUCACAAACAGUAUAUCAGCAUAUACAGAGACACACGUACACUGUCAUGUCACUGUCACAUUUUUGCAGUGCAAAUAUGUAAGCUGUUUAAUAUGAAAUGCAUAAAGAGUCUAAAUAUCUCCCAUGUGAGC